rnacentral:rRNA from 1 species
CCUGACGACCAUAGCGUGCCGGUCCCACCCGAUCCCAUCCCGAACUCGGCAGUGAAACGG